UUAAGCGACUAAGCGUACACGGUGGAUGCCCUGGCAGUCAGAGGCGAUGAAGGACGUGCUAAUCUGCGAUAAGCGUCGGUAAGGUGAUAUGAACCGUUAUAACCGGCGAUUUCCGAAUGGGGAAACCCAGUGUGUUUCGACACACUAUCAUUAACUGAAUCCAUAGGUUAAUGAGGCGAACCGGGGGAACUGAAACAUCUAAGUACCCCGAGGAAAAGAAAUCAACCGAGAUUCCCCAGUAGCGGCGAGCGAACGGGGAGCAGCCCAGAGCCUGAAUCAGUGUGUGUGUUAGUGGAAGCGUCUGGAAAGGCGCGCGAUACAGGGUGACAGCCCCGUACACAAAAAUGCACAUACUGUGAGCUCGAUGAGUAGGGCGGGACACGUGGUAUCCUGUCUGAAUAUGGGGGGACCAUCCUCCAAGGCUAAAUACUCCUGACUGACCGAUAGUGAACCAGUACCGUGAGGGAAAGGCGAAAAGAACCCCGGCGAGGGGAGUGAAAAAGAACCUGAAACCGUGUACGUACAAGCAGUGGGAGCACGCUUCGGCGUGUGACUGCGUACCUUUUGUAUAAUGGGUCAGCGACUUAUAUUCUGUAGCAAGGUUAACCGAAUAGGGGAGCCGAAGGGAAACCGAGUCUUAACUGGGCGUUAAGUUGCAGGGUAUAGACCCGAAACCCGGUGAUCUAGCCAUGGGCAGGUUGAAGGUUGGGUAACACUAACUGGAGGACCGAACCGACUAAUGUUGAAAAAUUAGCGGAUGACUUGUGGCUGGGGGUGAAAGGCCAAUCAAACCGGGAGAUAGCUGGUUCUCCCCGAAAGCUAUUUAGGUAGCGCCUCGUGAAUUCAUCUCCGGGGGUAGAGCACUGUUUCGGCAAGGGGGUCAUCCCGACUUACCAACCCGAUGCAAACUGCGAAUACCGGAGAAUGUUAUCACGGGAGACACACGGCGGGUGCUAACGUCCGUCGUGAAGAGGGAAACAACCCAGACCGCCAGCUAAGGUCCCAAAGUCAUGGUUAAGUGGGAAACGAUGUGGGAAGGCCCAGACAGCCAGGAUGUUGGCUUAGAAGCAGCCAUCAUUUAAAGAAAGCGUAAUAGCUCACUGGUCGAGUCGGCCUGCGCGGAAGAUGUAACGGGGCUAAACCAUGCACCGAAGCUGCGGCAGCGACACUAUGUGUUGUUGGGUAGGGGAGCGUUCUGUAAGCCUGUGAAGGUGUACUGUGAGGUAUGCUGGAGGUAUCAGAAGUGCGAAUGCUGACAUAAGUAACGAUAAAGCGGGUGAAAAGCCCGCUCGCCGGAAGACCAAGGGUUCCUGUCCAACGUUAAUCGGGGCAGGGUGAGUCGACCCCUAAGGCGAGGCCGAAAGGCGUAGUCGAUGGGAAACAGGUUAAUAUUCCUGUACUUGGUGUUACUGCGAAGGGGGGACGGAGAAGGCUAUGUUGGCCGGGCGACGGUUGUCCCGGUUUAAGCGUGUAGGCUGGUUUUCCAGGCAAAUCCGGAAAAUCAAGGCUGAGGCGUGAUGACGAGGCACUACGGUGCUGAAGCAACAAAUGCCCUGCUUCCAGGAAAAGCCUCUAAGCAUCAGGUAACAUCAAAUCGUACCCCAAACCGACACAGGUGGUCAGGUAGAGAAUACCAAGGCGCUUGAGAGAACUCGGGUGAAGGAACUAGGCAAAAUGGUGCCGUAACUUCGGGAGAAGGCACGCUGAUAUGUAGGUGAAGUCCCUCGCGGAUGGAGCUGAAAUCAGUCGAAGAUACCAGCUGGCUGCAACUGUUUAUUAAAAACACAGCACUGUGCAAACACGAAAGUGGACGUAUACGGUGUGACGCCUGCCCGGUGCCGGAAGGUUAAUUGAUGGGGUUAGCGGUAACGCGAAGCUCUUGAUCGAAGCCCCGGUAAACGGCGGCCGUAACUAUAACGGUCCUAAGGUAGCGAAAUUCCUUGUCGGGUAAGUUCCGACCUGCACGAAUGGCGUAAUGAUGGCCAGGCUGUCUCCACCCGAGACUCAGUGAAAUUGAACUCGCUGUGAAGAUGCAGUGUACCCGCGGCAAGACGGAAAGACCCCGUGAACCUUUACUAUAGCUUGACACUGAACAUUGAGCCUUGAUGUGUAGGAUAGGUGGGAGGCUUUGAAGUGUGGACGCCAGUCUGCAUGGAGCCGACCUUGAAAUACCACCCUUUAAUGUUUGAUGUUCUAACGUUGACCCGUAAUCCGGGUUGCGGACAGUGUCUGGUGGGUAGUUUGACUGGGGCGGUCUCCUCCUAAAGAGUAACGGAGGAGCACGAAGGUUGGCUAAUCCUGGUCGGACAUCAGGAGGUUAGUGCAAUGGCAUAAGCCAGCUUGACUGCGAGCGUGACGGCGCGAGCAGGUGCGAAAGCAGGUCAUAGUGAUCCGGUGGUUCUGAAUGGAAGGGCCAUCGCUCAACGGAUAAAAGGUACUCCGGGGAUAACAGGCUGAUACCGCCCAAGAGUUCAUAUCGACGGCGGUGUUUGGCACCUCGAUGUCGGCUCAUCACAUCCUGGGGCUGAAGUAGGUCCCAAGGGUAUGGCUGUUCGCCAUUUAAAGUGGUACGCGAGCUGGGUUUAGAACGUCGUGAGACAGUUCGGUCCCUAUCUGCCGUGGGCGCUGGAGAACUGAGGGGGGCUGCUCCUAGUACGAGAGGACCGGAGUGGACGCAUCACUGGUGUUCGGGUUGUCAUGCCAAUGGCACUGCCCGGUAGCUAAAUGCGGAAGAGAUAAGUGCUGAAAGCAUCUAAGCACGAAACUUGCCCCGAGAUGAGUUCUCCCUGACUCCUUGAGAGUCCUGAAGGAACGUUGAAGACGACGACGUUGAUAGGCCGGGUGUGUAAGCGCAGCGAUGCGUUGAGCUAACCGGUACUAAUGAACCGUGAGGCUUAACCUU
rnacentral:rRNA from 1 species